CAACACCACCUAUAUACAAGGCCUCUCCACUGAAGUCAUGACGUCAUCACUAGUAGGCCAUUUGUCGUUCAGUCUUGUAAUGUAAAACGCGAAUUUUUGAACAGUGUAGUGCGUUUUAGUAAUAAUUUUUUGUUGUGGAUAGUUGCUGAAUGCCUGUAUUAUUGAGCAAUGCCUUUCAAAUGUUGUGUGCCAAAUUGUAAUGGCAAUUACAAAAAUGGGCCAAAGGUUGCAACGUUUUCUUUUCCA